rnacentral:rRNA from 1 species
UUAAGCAUAUCAAUAAGCGGAGGAAAAGAAACCAACCGGGAUUGCCUCAGUAACGGCGAGUGAAGCGGCAAGAGCUCAAAUUUGAAAUCUGGCCCCUCCGGGGUCCGAGUUGUAAUUUGCAGAGGAUGCUUCGGGUGCGGCCCCUGUCUAAGUGCCCUGGAACGGGCCGUCAGAGAGGGUGAGAAUCCCGUCUUGGGCAGGGUGCCCGUGCCCGUGUGAAGCUCCUUCGACGAGUCGAGUUGUUUGGGAAUGCAGCUCUAAAUGGGUGGUAAAUUUCAUCUAAAGCUAAAUACCGGCCGGAGACCGAUAGCGCACAAGUAGAGUGAUCGAAAGAUGAAAAGCACUUUGAAAAGAGAGUUAAACAGCACGUGAAAUUGUUGAAAGGGAAGCGCUUGCGACCAGACUCGGCCCCGGGGUUCAGCCAGCACUCGUGCUGGUGUACUUCCCCGGGGGCGGGCCAGCGUCGGUUUGGGCGGCCGGUCAAAGGCCCCAGGAAUGUGUCGCCCUCCGGGGCGUCUUAUAGCCUGGGGUGCAAUGCGGCCAGCCCGGACCGAGGAACGCGCUUCGGCACGGACGCUGGCGUAAUGGUCGCAAACGACCCGUCUUGAAACACGGACCAAGGAGUCUAACAUCUACGCGAGUGUUCGGGUGUCAAACCCGUACGCGCAGUGAAAGCGAACGGAGGUGGGAGCCCCGCAAGGGGCGCACCAUCGACCGAUCCUGAUGUCUUCGGAUGGAUUUGAGUAAGAGCGUAGCUGUGGGGACCCGAAAGAUGGUGAACUAUGCCUGAAUAGGGCGAAGCCAGAGGAAACUCUGGUGGAGGCUCGCAGCGGUUCUGACGUGCAAAUCGAUCGUCAAAUUUGGGUAUAGGGGCGAAAGACUAAUCGAACCAUCUGGUAGCUGGUUCCUGCCGAAGUUCCCCUCAGGAA